rnacentral:lncRNA from 10 species
GGCUCCGAGGAGGUAAGGGGGCCCUGCCGGCAUUGGGAGUGGGCGCCGGAAGAACCUUGGACCUGCUGACCUGAAGACCCCGAGAAAAAAAGGCGGGGAAGCUGAGGGGUCUGGAUAAGGCCAGAAUUAAGGAAGGCAACAGCAGGUGACUUGGAAUAGUGUGAAGGGGGCCCGAGAGCCCGUUCCCUCAUUCGUUCAUGCCGCAUCAAAAGGUGGUUAAGAGGCUGCUCUUCAGUCACACUGCUGGAAGUCUUUUCGGGCUCCCUCGCUUAUUCACCAUGUGCUCUCCAGCAUCAGUCACAUUGGAAUAAGAGCACCUGCCUCACGGGAUCCUUGGGACGAUGGAAAGAAACAGCGUGGGCACCCACUGAAUUGCUUCCUCAUGUCUGCCUGGCCCAGGCCUGGGAGAUACGGAGAUGGAGGAGACACAGGCUCUGCUCAGUGCCAGAGACAAGCAUAUACAAAGACAGAAGGGAACAUCCUGUUCAGAGAAGAGGACUCCACAUCCCUGAUCUCAGUGGUGGCCGGGCCCACAUCAGAGCUCAUAGCUGCUCAUGCUGUGUUACAAAGCCCUGAGGAGGAGACAGACAGGAAAACAUCACUAACAUGGAAGGUACCAGGAAAGAGUCAUAUAAUGGAAUACCAUACAGCAGUGAAAAAGAACAUGGCCACAUGUAACGUGUAACAACAUGGGUGACUCUCCCAGAUGUGAUGUUGAGUGAGGGAAAUACAGCACAAAGAAAGAACAUACUAUGGCAUGCUAUAUUUAUAUUCCAUGAAUAUGAACUUCAAAAACAUGUGGAACCAACCUACAGGGAGAGAAGUCAAAAUAGUAGUUUCCCUUGGGGCAGGGAUUACUGAUUGGGAAGAGGCACACAAGAGCCUUCUGGAGUGCUGAAAAUGGUCUAUAUCUUGACCUAGGUGGUGGUUACAGAGGCUGAUACAUAUGUAAGGAUUCAUGGAGCUGUAUGCUUAAGAUUAGUGCACUUUAAUGUAUGGAAAUUAUGCCUCAAUAGAAAAAGUAUUUUUAAAAACCAAAAGUGCCAAGAGCUUUCCCCAGAUCUUUGCAUAACUGGCUUCUUGUCAUUCAGGCCAUCCCCUAAAUAUCACCUCUUCAAAGAGGCCUUCCCUGGUCCCCCCUGCACCUAAUCGAAUUGAGCAACACUCCCCACCUCUGUGCCUCAGUUGCUCUCUAUUCUAUUAACUGGUUUUCUUUUCCUUUUAGUAUGUACCAGUGUGCUAGAGCUGGCUUUCACUGGCUCUUCCCAACUCAGUAUUCAAUGACUUCACACUGCCAGCUUGAGAUCAGCCGUGAUGGGAAUGUCGGCACCACGGAAGUCAGCAGGUGCUGCAGAUGCCCUCCUCCAAGCAGAUCACUCAGCAUUUUCCAGUACACCCUGUACACAACACUAUUUGAAAUCAUCUUAUGUAUUUGUCAGCAUACUGAUCUGCUGUAUGUCUCCUCCACAUGAAGUUUCAUGAGGGCAGGGUCUAUGGCUUGUCAUUUUUGCCACUGUAUCCCUGGUUCCUAGAACAAUGCUUGUUGUAUAGUAGGUAUUCAAUACAUGCUGCUUGAAUGAAUAAAAGUCUGACAGAAACACUGG